rnacentral:rRNA from 1 species
GACGUAGGGCGCGAGCGUUGUCCGGAUUUAUUGGGCGUAAAGAGCUCGUAGGCGGCUUGUCGCGUCGACCGUGAAAACUCGCAGCUCAACUGCGAGCCUGCGGUCGAUACGGGCAGGCUAGAGUUCGGUAGGGGAGACUGGAAUUCCUGGUGUAGCGGUGAAAUGCGCAGAUAUCAGGAAGAACACCCGUGGCGAAGGCGGCUCUCUGGAACGCAACUGACGCUGAGACGCGAAAGCGUGGGGAGCAAACAGG